UGUUAAAAAUUUCAUCCAUUUCUACUAUUAAAAACUAGUGUAGUUGACAAAAUAACCAAACAGUUACAUGUACGUCAUUUUGACAUACAUAGACCAGUUUUUAACAAUAGAAAUAGAUGAGAUUUUUAAUA
rfam:Gossypium hirsutum cultivar TM-1 chromosome 5, whole genome shotgun sequence